rnacentral:rRNA from 1 species
GCAUGGUAAGCGCUUCCAAGAAAAGCGAGCAUAGCGGCCCGUACCGUAAACCGACACAGGUAGCUGAGGAGAGGAUCCUAAGGCGCUCGAGUGAUUCAUGGCUAAGGAACUAGGCAAAAUCACCCCGUAACUUCGGGAUAAGGGGAUCCCGCGCGAGCGGGACGCAGUGAAAAGGCCCAUGCGACUGUUUAUCAAAAACACAUGGCUAUGCUAAAUCGAAAGAUGACGUAUAUGGCCUGACACCUGCCCGGUGCCGGAAGGUUAAGUGGGGGGCUUAUCGUAAGAGAAGGCCUGAAAUGAAGCCCCGGUAAACGGCGGCCGUAACGAUAACGGUCCUAAGGUAGCGAAAUUCCUUGUCGGGUAAGUUCCGACCUGCACGAAUGGUGUAACGAUGUGGGCACUGUCUCGGCCAUGAGCUCGGUGAAAUUGUAGUAUCGGUGAAGAUGCCGAUUACCCGCAACGGGACGGAAAGACCCCGUGAACCUUUACUGCAGCUUCACAUUGAUUCUGGGUAAGUGAUGUGUAGGAUAGGACGGAGGCUAUGAAGCGGGUUCGCCAGGACUUGUGGAGCCAUCCUUGAAAUACGUCCCUUUGCUUAUCCGGGACCUAAUCCCGUUUGUUCGGGAGACAUUGUGUGGUGGGUAGUUUGACUGGGGUGGUCGCCUCCAAAAGAGUAACGGAGGCUCCUCAAGGUACCCUCAUGUCGAUUGGUAACCGACAGCAGAGUGUAAUGGCACAAGGGUGCUUGACUGUGAGAGAUACGACUCGAUCAGGUACGAAAGUAGAGCAUAGUGAUUCGGUGGUUCCGUAUGGAAGGGCCAUCGCUCAAAGGAUAAAAGGUACUCCGGGGAUAACAGGCUGAUCGCUCCCAAGAGCUCAUAUCGACGGAGCGGUUUGGCACCUCGAUGUCGGCUCGUCACAUCCUGGGGCUGGAGAAGGCCCCAAGGGUUGGGCUGUUCGCCCAUUAAAGUGGCACGCGAGCUGGGUUCAGAACGUCGUGAGACAGUUCGGUCCCUAUCUGUUGUGGGCGUUGGAGAUUUGAGGGGACCUGCUACUAGUACGAGAGGACCGUGGUGGACAUACCUCUAGUGUACCGGUUGUGGCGCCAGCUGCAUCGCCGGGUAGCUAUGUAUGGAACAGAUAAGCGCUGAAAGCAUCUAAGCGCGAAGCUGGCCCCAAGAUGAGAUCUCCUUUAAGGGCCGUUAGAGACGAUGACGUUGAUAGGCUGCAGGUGUAAAGACGGUAACGUCAAAGCCGAGCAGUACUAAUUGCCC